GAUGAACGCUGGCGGCGUGCCUAAUACAUGCAAGUCGAGCGAACGGACGAGAAGCUUGCUUCUCUGAUGUUAGCGGCGGACGGGUGAGUAACACGUGGAUAACCUACCUAUAAGACUGGGAUAACUUCGGGAAACCGGAGCUAAUACCGGAUAAUAUUUUGAACCGCAUGGUUCAAAAGUGAAAGACGGUCUUGCUGUCACUUAUAGAUGGAUCCGCGCUGCAUUAGCUAGUUGGUAAGGUAACGGCUUACCAAGGCAACGAUGCAUAGCCGACCGGAGAGGGUGCUGGGCCACACGGGAACUGAGACAGGGUCCAGCCUCCACGGGGAGGACGAAGAAGGGAAUCUUCGGCAAGGGGGGAAAGCCGGACGGACAAGCCCCGGGUGAGUGAUGAAGGUUUGCGGAUUGAAAAACUUUUUUAUUGGGAAAAAACAUAUGUGAAAUUACCUGUGCACAUCUUGACGGUACUUAAUAAGAAACCCCGGGCUAACUACGUC
rnacentral:rRNA from 1 species